rnacentral:hammerhead_ribozyme from 1 species
GUCUGGCUGACAAGUCUCAGACAGGACGAAAUGCGUAUCUCAGAU